rnacentral:lncRNA from 1 species
AGCUAACAGGUAUCCAUAAAUACUUAUCAGAUCUUUGGCAUGUGUCAGCCACUAUUCUAAGCAUCUUGAAAGAUUUAGCUUAUUUAAUCUUCCUCUGUAGGCAACCAUAUGAGGUAGAUAUGUUCUUGAUAUAGCAAAGACAGCUCAGCCUGAAAGGGUUAAAAAUCUCAGCUAACCCAUACAGCUAAUAAGAUGCCAAGAUUAUCACCCAGGAAGGAAUUUGUGUCCAGAGCCUCUGACCUUAAGCACUCUACAGGAAUGGCAUGCUUCUCAGUCACCUGUGUGUCAGGUGGAAGUGUCACCAAAUACAACUAAGUGCAUAAAAUUGCCAAGAGCUUCCCUGAGUCAAGGACGGGUCUCUCCAAUGCUUUGCUUUUUAAGCAUCUGCUAUCCACUGACAGAACCUUGCUGUGAGAGUCUUUGCUUGUGAACUUGAAUUCCUUUGACCAACAAACCUGAUGUUUUUCUAGUUACCUGGCUCUCCUCACUUGUGUUCCUAAUGUUUCUUCCUCCCCUCUUACUCUGAGCUCAUGUUUUUGACUGCAGUACUCCUCUGUUUGAACAUCUCUCCUCACCCUAUGCAGUCCACCCCCCAUCCAGCCUCUCAUCUCCACAGGAAGGGUUUACUAAAGUUAUCAUAUGGUUAGUCCCCACCAAAAUGUGGAUGUGAGGCUUGGUGCCCCAGGGGGCAGUGUUGGGAGGGGAUGCCUUUAAAAGGUGAUUGAAAGGAUCAUGAAAAGGGAUCAAUGUUUGGUUUUGCAUGAAUGAGUUGUCAAUGUUCCAGGAUUGGAUUUGUACCCUGACAGCAGAUUGGGGUAAAGUGAGUUGGGUUCCCUUUGGCUCUUCUUCUGGCUUCCUCUCUCAUGGGGCAACUUCCCUGUCUCACCUACACAUUCCUGCCAUGUAAUGCCAUCCACCAUGUUAUGACACAGCAAGGGGUCCUUGCCAGAUAUAGCAACCUGAUCUUGGAUUUCUAUUCUCUAGAACUGUGAGCCAAGUAUACCUUUCUCUUUUAUAAAUCACCCAACCUCGGGUAUUUUGCUAUAACAAUAAGACUAAGACAGGGUCUACAACCUUUGUACUGACAAAUACUUUAGACAAAUAACAGUGAG